rnacentral:rRNA from 1 species
CACGCGGAGGGAUCAUUACUGAGUUUACGCUCUAUAACCCUUUGUGAACAUACCUAUAACUGUUGCUUCGGCGGGUAGGGUCUCCGCGACCCUCCCGGCCUCCCGCCUCCGGGCGGGUCGGCGCCCGCCGGAGGAUAACCAAACUCUGAUUUAACGACGUUUCUUCUGAGUGGUACAAGCAAAUAAUCAAAACUUUUAACAACGGAUCUCUUGGUUCUGGCAUCGAUGAAGAACGCAGCGAAAUGCGAUAAGUAAUGUGAAUUGCAGAAUUCAGUGAAUCAUCGAAUCUUUGAACGCACAUUGCGCCCGCCAGCAUUCUGGCGGGCAUGCCUGUUCGAGCGUCAUUUCAACCCUCAAGCUCUGCUUGGUGUUGGGGCCCUACAGCUGAUGUAGGCCCUCAAAGGUAGUGGCGGACCCUCCCGGAGCCUCCUUUGCGUAGUAACUUUACGUCUCGCACUGGGAUCCGGAGGGACUCUUGCCGUAAAACCCCCCAAUUUUCCAAAGGUUGACCUCGGAUCAGGUAG